UACGUAGGGUGCAAGCGUUAUCCGGAUUUAUUGGGCGUAAAGGGCUCGUAGGCGGUUCGUCGCGUCCGGUGUGAAAGUCCAUCGCUUAACGGUGGAUCCGCGCCGGGUACGGGCGGGCUUGAGUGCGGUAGGGGAGACUGGAAUUCCCGGUGUAACGGUGGAAUGUGUAGAUAUCGGGAAGAACACCAAUGGCGAAGGCAGGUCUCUGGGCCGUUACUGACGCUGAGGCUCGAAAGCGUGGGGAGCGAACAGG
rnacentral:rRNA from 1 species